rnacentral:rRNA from 1 species
CCCUUAGAUGUUCUGGGCAGCACGCGCGCUACAAUGGUCUUCGCAAACGGAUGCAUUCUCGAAGGAGAAUGCCAAUCUUGGAAUCUAUGCCUUGGUCGGGACAGUUGCUUGCAAUUUUUCGACUCGAACCAGGAAUUCCUUGUAAUCGUGAUUCAUCACAUCACGAUGAAUACGUCCCUGCCCUUUGUACACACCGCCCGUCGCUCCUACCGAUCGAAGAGUUAGGUGAAUUGUUUUGAUCGAUAAGAUUUGACUAUGGUCAACUCUCGUUGUGAAAUUCUGUGAAUCUGACUGUUUAGAGGAAGCAAAAGUCGUAACA